AGCUUUGUGCAGUAGUAAUAUUGUAACCAAUGAGGUUUAUCUGAGGUGCAAUUAUUGCUGUUAAAAAAAUAAAAAGGAAAAAGAUGACUUUACAAGCAACUAACUAACUUCUCUAAUAUUAAGGACAAU
ensembl:snRNA U4 U4 spliceosomal RNA